AUAUGUCUGUGUUGUACAGACUUAGGGGGAGAAGAAGUACCCAUGUGCAUAUGUGUGUUUUACUAGUUGCUAUUAUAGCUAGUAAUUCUAUUUGCUUCUGUUGCUGCUUAAACUGUUGUUAUGCUAUUUAACUGCUGAUGUGUUUUUUCUUGUGAACAAAAUGGACAGAUAUAUGUUUUAGCCAAAAUUUGCCAAAGAGGGAGUUUGUUGGUUAUAAGUGUUGGCGGCAACUUUGGUAAAACAAAGAGUGUU
rnacentral:lncRNA from 1 species